rnacentral:tRNA from 1 species
GGGGUUGUGGCUCAGUGGCAGAGUGCUUGCCUAGCAUGCAUGAGGCCCUGGGUUUGAUCCUCAGCACCACA